UCGGAGCGUGGCACGAUCAACAAAAAAGCUGCAUCAAAAUUCUGCGCAAAUCGCCGUUUGUUAUUGCUGACUGCAAAGACAUUUUAUGAAAUGUCAGAGAUCUACUUUGUUUUCAAAGGACCCCUCGAUCAGUGGUCCGAUCCGCCCUUCGAAUAUUGGGACGCACGCAGCACGAGCAGCCGGCAAGAUAGCAUCGACGAGUGCCUCGCAGUCGAAUUAUCCGAGUCUCCACAGUACUUAUUUCACUUUCCAAAGUACAAUAGGAUUCCACGUAACUGCUCUGAAGAACUCGGCUACGUAUGCAAGAAAAGCCAUCCACCGAAGACUCAUGGUUUUACCUGCG